rnacentral:lncRNA from 1 species
GCCCCGCCCACUCCCGGUAUUGGCCCCGCCCCUGGUACCCGCCCACUCCCGGUAGCGCCCCCGCCCCGCCCCCGCACCUGGUAGCGGCCCAGGGGCGUGAGGAUGAGCCCGUCCUCGCCCACGAUGCAGUCCGGGAGCUGCUUCUUCCCGUUCUCGUCCUGCGUUGUCCCCAGGGCAAGCGUCAGCUGGGCGAGCUGGGCCUCGCUAAGCUGCGGGGCGGGACGGACAGAGGGUCUCGUUCGAGGCCUGGGGAGCCAUCCCCACCCAGACUCAUCGCCCCGAGGGCGGGGGCGGGCGGUGUACCCGGAAGGCUUGGCACAGGCACUCCAGCGCCUUCUCCAGGUACUCGUCCGUCUUGCGGACGCUGUCCUGCCCCAUCUCGUCCAGGGGGCUGGCAGCGUGGGAGUGGGCGGAAGGAGAGGCCUGCUCAGGCCGCAGGCUGUUGGAGAAGGCGUGCAGGUGCUUCAGCAGCAGCCGCACGACCAGCACGUGCUCCUCCGUGGGCAUGAAGGCCUCCUGGGGGCCGGGCGGGGCGUCAGCUGACCCAGCAGCGUGUGCCGCUGACGCCCAGGGGGCUCCCUGCCCUUGGGAGCGCUAGCGCAGCCUGUGAGCUGGGCUUCGGUCCACAAGUGUGGGCGGGCCUGAGCCCACUGUGGGCUGCUCCCCCGCCCACCCCCAGCCAGGGGCUUGCCCAGGAUGAGCUGCGCCAAGAUGGCGCAGAAGGCUGGGCCCAGGGCACAGUCCCACAGGCCGCCCCGGCACGGACUCGGCCACGCAGGCCCUGGCGACCCCCAGGGGGGCGCCCCUUCUGCCUGGGCUACCUUUGGGCCUCUACGUGCUAGGCCUGCAGCACACCGGAGGGAAAGGGCUACCGUGACGGCAAUGGAAGCACAGGGCCCCCCGGGCCUGCCCCCCAACGCACCUCGACCCCCAGCAUUUCUGGGCCCACUCCCGCCCUCGGCCGGCACCCGCACCGCAGCCCGCGGGUUGCCUCCUCGCUGUCAGGCAAACCGCCUUCUUCAGUGCCUCCUGGCCUGAGGCAGUGCCCACGGGAGCCUGUGGCUGUUCCCCACCCCCCCUUCUUUCUCCCUGUUGCAGAUGACCCCGCUGCUACCCAGGAAGGCCCUCCCCUGUCCAUGGCAGCCCUUCUGGAACCUUCUCUCCUCUGUGCGGCAGUCAGGCAGGAAUGGAGCGUGACAUCUCAUCCAUGCAAGGCCCCACCCAGGGCAACCCUCCCUGACCGUGAGCGAGGCCCAAACUGCCUGAGAUCACAUCGGGGAGCAGCGAACCUCGGGAACCCACUGGCCUCACACUCCCACCUCCCAGCCACGCGUCCACACCCCUCCUCACCCCCGGGGCCCGGAGCGCCCCCCAGGCCUGCCUCUCGGCCGCUUAGCCGCACCGCCGCUGCAUGUCCGGCUUCCGCCCCCCCCCCCCGCACCGCCCCGGCUGGAGGCCUGUACUCCAGAGGCUGCACGGGUUCCUCCACAAGCCGGGGCCGAGCACGCAGCACCACGACCCCUGCGGGCUGGACACCUGGGGUGGCCUGGAGCUUGGCCAGGCAGUGCAGGUGACCGCAGCACAGCCAGCGGGUCCUGGGUGUCACUCUCGGCCACCUGGCUGCACCCCGAAUCCCAGCGGGAAGGCCUGGC